CUAAGCCGAGGCCGAAAGGCGUAGGUGAUGGACAACAGGUUGAUAUUCCUGUACCGCCAAUAAGCGUUUGAGAGAUGGAGUGACACAGUAGGAUAAGCUAACCGUACUGUUGGUUAUGUACGGCUAAGCAUUGAGGCAGUCUAAAUAGGCAAAUCCGUUUAGACAAUGCUAGGAUGUGAUGGGGAAGCCCUUCGGGGCGAAGUAGCUGAUUUCACACUGUCAAGAAAAGCUUCUAUCGAGUUUAAAGGCGCCCGUACCGUAAACCGACACAGGUGGGUGAGGAGAGUAUCCUAAGGCCAGCGAGAGAACUAUUGUUAAGGAACUCGGCAAAAUGACCCCGUAACUUAGGGAGAAGGGGUGCCUGUCUAUGACAGGCCGCAGAGAAUAGGCCCAAGCGACUGUUUACCAAAAACACAGGUUUCUGCUAAGUCGCAAGACGAUGUAUAGGAGCUGACGCCUGCCCGGUGCUGGAAGGUUAAGGGGAUCUGUUAGAGCAAUCGAAGCAGUGAACUUAAGCCCCAGUAAACGGCGGCCGUAACUAUAACGGUCCUAAGGUAGCGAAAUUCCUUGUCGGGUAAGUUCCGACCCGCACGAAAGGCGUAACGAUUUGGGCACUGUCUCAACAAUAGACUCGGUGAAAUUGUAAUCCCGGUGAAGAUGCCGGGUACCUGCGACAGGACGGAAAGACCCCAUGGAGCUUUACUGUAGCUUGACGUUGGGUCUUGGUACUACAUGUACAGGAUAGGUGGGAGACUAUGAAGCAUGGACGCCAGUCUGUGUGGAGUCAUCCUUGGGAUACCACCCUUGUAGUACUGGGAUCCUAACCAUAGGCCUUGAAUCAGGUCUUGGAACACCGUCAGGUGGGCAGUUUGACUGGGGCGGUCGCCUCCUAAAAAGUAACGGAGGCGCUCAAAGGUUUCCUCAGCACGGUCGGAAAUCGUGCGAAGAGUGUAAAGGCAAAAGGAAGCUUGAUUGCAAGACAUACAGGUCGAGCAAGGACGAAAGUCGGACUUAGUGAUCCGGUGGUUCCGCAUGGAAGGGCCAUCGCUCAACGGAUAAAAGCUACCCUGGGGAUAACAGGCUUAUCUCCCCCAAGAGUCCACAUCGACGGGGAGGUUUGGCACCUCGAUGUCGGCUCAUCACAUCCUGGGGCUGUAGUAGGUCCCAAGGGUUGGGCUGUUCGCCCAUUAAAGUGGUACGCGAGCUGGGUUCAGAACGUCGUGAGACAGUUCGGUCCCUAUCCGUCGCAGGCGUAGGAAAUUUGAGAAGACCUGUCCUUAGUACGAGAGGACCGGGAUGGACGUACCUCUGGUGUACCAGUUGUUCUGCCAAGGGCAUGGCUGGGUAGCUAUGUACGGAAUGGAUAAGCGCUGAAAGCAUCUAAGCGCGAAGCCAACUUCAAGAUAAGAUUUCCCACCGUAAGGGUAAGACCCCAGGAAGACUACCUGGUUGAUAGGUCGAAGGUGUAAGUGCAGUAAUGUAUUUAGCUUAUCGAUACUAAUAGGUCGAGGACUUGACC
rnacentral:rRNA from 1 species